UGUUUGAUGUUCUAACGUGGACCCGUAAUCCGGGUUGCGGACAGUGUCUGGUGGGUAGUUUGACUGGGGCGGUCUCCUCCUAAAGAGUAACGGAGGAGCACGAAGGUUGGCUAAUCCUGGUCGGACAUCAGGAGGUUAGUGCAAUGGCAUAAGCCAGCUUGACUGCGAGCGUGACGGCGCGAGCAGGUGCGAAAGCAGGUCAUAGUGAUCCGGUGGUUCUGAAUGGAAGGGCCAUCGCUCAACGGAUAAAAGGUACUCCGGGGAUAACAGGCUGAUACCGCCCAAGAGUUCAUAUCGACGGCGGUGUUUGGCACCUCGAUGUCGGCUCAUCACAUCCUGGGGCUGAAGUAGGUCCCAAGGGUAUGGCUGUUCGCCAUUUAAAGUGGUACGCGAGCUGGGUUUAGAACGUCGUGAGACAGUUCGGUCCCUAUCUGCCGUGGGCGCUGGAGAACUGAGGGGGGCUGCUCCUAGUACGAGAGGACCGGAGUGGACGCAUCACUGGUGUUCGGGUUGUCAUGCCAAUGGCACUGCCCGGUAGCUAAAUGCGGAAGAGAUAAGUGCUGAAAGCAUCUAAGCACGAAACUUGCCCCGAGAUGAGUUCUCCCUGAGACUUAGAGUCUCCUGAAGGAACGUUGAAGACGACGACGUUGAUAGGCCGGGUGUGUAAGCGCAGCGAUGCGUUGAGCUAACCGGUACUAAUGAACCGUGAGGCUUAACCUUACA
rnacentral:rRNA from 3 species